rnacentral:rRNA from 1 species
GACGAACGCUGGCGGCGUGCUUAACACAUGCAAGUCGAACGGAAAGGCCCUGCUUUUGUGGGGUGCUCGAGUGGCGAACGGGUGAGUAACACGUGAGUAACCUGCCCUUGACUUUGGGAUAACUUCAGGAAACUGGGGCUAAUACCGGAUAGGAGCUCCUGCUGCAUGGUGGGGGUUGGAAAGUUUCGGCGGUUGGGGAUGGACUCGCGGCUUAUCAGCUUGUUGGUGGGGUAGUGGCUUACCAAGGCUUUGACGGGUAGCCGGCCUGAGAGGGUGACCGGCCACAUAGGGACUGAGGUACGGCCCAGACGCCUACGGGGGGCAGGAGUGGGGAAUAUUGCACGAUGGGCGGAGGGCGGAUGCAGCAACGCCGCGUGCGGGAGGACGGCCUUCGGGUUGUAAGCCGCUUUCGCCUGUGACGAAGCGUGAGUGACUGUAAUGGGUAAAGAAGCACCGGCUAACUACGU